GGUUGCGAUCAUACCAGCAANAA
rnacentral:rRNA from 1 species